GCUGAGGAGAGAGAAGAGGUAGCGACGAGCAGUCGUCGCCACCACCGCGGGAGGUGGAGGAGGCCCUGCCGGAGUCGAGAGGUCUCUCCUCCCCGCCGACGGUCCCUGCCCACAGCUCCUCUGCCUCCUCUCGGUGCCGGAACUCCCGGGCCUGCCCGGGGCCCCCAGUCUUUGCACUCCGCACGCCGCAGCGCCCGGCCCCGGCCGCACCCGCCGGCCCCAUGAGGAGGGACGUGAACGGAGUGACCAAGAGCAGGUUUGAGAUGUUCUCAAAUAGCGAUGAAGCUGUAAUUAAUAAAAAACUUCCCAAAGAACUCCUAUUACGGAUAUUUUCUUUUCUGGAUGUUGUUACCUUGUGUCGCUGUGCUCAGGUCUCCAGGGCCUGGAAUGUUCUGGCUCUGGAUGGCAGUAACUGGCAGAGAAUUGACCUGUUUGAUUUCCAGAGAGAUAUCGAGGGCCGGGUAGUGGAGAAUAUUUCAAAAAGGUGUGGGGGCUUUUUACGAAAGUUAAGUCUUCGUGGGUGUCUCGGAGUAGGAGACAAUGCAUUAAGGACCUUUGCACAAAACUGUAGGAACAUUGAAGUACUGAAUCUCAAUGGGUGUACAAAGACUACAGAUGCUACAUGUACUAGCCUUAGCAAGUUCUGUUCCAAACUCAGGCACCUUGACUUGGCUUCCUGUACAUCAAUAACAAACAUGUCUCUAAAAGCUCUGAGUGAGGGAUGUCCACUGUUGGAGCAAUUAAACAUUUCCUGGUGUGACCAAGUAACCAAGGAUGGUAUCCAAGCACUAGUGAGAGGCUGUGGAGGUCUUAAAGCCUUAUUCUUAAAAGGCUGCACACAGCUAGAAGAUGAAGCUCUCAAGUACAUAGGUGCACACUGUCCUGAACUGGUGACUUUGAACUUGCAGACUUGCUUACAAAUCACAGAUGAAGGUCUCAUUACUAUAUGCAGAGGGUGCCAUAAGCUACAGUCCCUCUGUGCCUCUGGCUGCUCCAACAUCACAGAUGCCAUCCUGAACGCUUUAGGUCAGAACUGCCCACGGCUUAGAAUAUUAGAAGUGGCAAGGUGUUCUCAACUAACAGAUGUAGGCUUUACCACUCUGGCCAGGAAUUGCCAUGAGCUUGAAAAGAUGGACCUGGAAGAGUGUGUUCAGAUAACAGAUAGCACAUUAAUCCAACUUUCUAUACACUGUCCUCGACUUCAAGUAUUGAGUCUGUCUCACUGUGAGCUGAUCACAGAUGAUGGAAUUCGUCACCUGGGGAACGGGGCCUGCGCCCAUGACCAGCUGGAGGUGAUUGAACUGGACAACUGCCCCCUAAUUACAGAUGCAUCCCUGGAGCACUUGAAGAGCUGUCACAGCCUUGAGCGGAUAGAACUCUAUGACUGCCAGCAAAUCACACGGGCUGGAAUCAAGAGACUCAGGACCCAUUUACCCAAUAUUAAAGUCCACGCCUACUUCGCACCUGUCACUCCACCCCCAUCAGUAGGGGGCAGCAGACAGCGCUUCUGCAGAUGCUGCAUCAUCCUAUGACAAUGGAGGUGGUCAACCUUGGUGAACUGAGUAUUUAAUGACACUUCUAGAGUUACCAUGGAUCUCCAUUGGAAGCGACCCCAGUGUUCCGGGCAAAGGUUACAAAGUCCAUGUGGAGGCGAGCCCUGCCUGUCUGGGCCAAGAACAGAGUCAAGUGAGGGAAUAAAGGCCCUGGAGUGUGCAGCACUGGCAUGUAUGUGGUCAGGCAGGAACCUUGUUCCUUUCUGAAGAAAACUUCUGGCCCAUCAAGCUUGGAAGGACAUGUAUUUUUUAUGCCAAUCUAAAACCUAUGUCAGCUGAUGAAAUAUACCAGGACUUCGAGAACGCAGAACGUGGUAAGUUUUGGUCAGGUGGAAGGGCCCUGCCAUCUGAACAUAGUAUUUCCUGUCUCAUCUUCAGGGACACUGUUGAAAAUCCAGUAAGGCUUUACAGAUGUAGGAAAAACUCUUCCUUAGGAAAAACUUAUUGGUCCAUUUGUCUGACUCCAGAGUCACUCCACAAUAUGCCUUCAAUAAUAAAAAAAAUACAGAGUGAACGGAGAGAAGAGAUAUGGGAUAAGUAAGAAGGUGCCCUCAAAGUUACUAUACAUCCGGAUCAUCUCUUUUCUAAGCAGCCUUUUCCCCUUACAUUUUUUAGCAUCAUCAGUAUCUUUUACAUCUUCAUUGGCCCCAUCAAGGUGAUGAUUCCAGGUUUUUUUUUUUUUGCAUUGACUUCUCCCAUGUCCUUCCUAUACCCAUCCUUGCCCUCUAUCUUGAAAGCUUCCAUCUCACUCCCAACAAUGCUGCUAAUUUAUUCUCGUGUCUUCAGUUUAGCUUCCUCUUUGGAUCCUUGUCCUGAUCUGGGCAAACUAUCCUGGGCAGCCUUGAAUUCAGUAACUGUCAUGUAGCUCAGGCCAUUUUUCACUGGGUGAUCUUUGUUGUUUGCUUACUGAGUUUGAAAUCAAACUGUUGGAUAUGAGUAAUAAGAGAAUCUGCCUUCAUCCUUUUUCCAAUAUCUGGAAUGUGAAAGCACAUCAUGCUUUAUGUAAAAAAAUGUUUUCUCCUCCUGUUCUGCUCUUUAAUGGAUGUAAAAGUAUUAAGUGGUUUUUAUAAAUUUCCACAUCAAGUUGAUUUAGCAGACAUAUAAGUCAGAAAUUUUUCAUAUUCCUUAUAUCACAUUUUAGAGGGCAACCUGGUAAAUAUUUUUAUGAUGCUUUAUUUUGAGCUUUCCAAACUGUUUGAAUGGUUCAGUAUAGCUACAAUGCUAUAUGGCAGUCAAGUUCUUUUAUUUCUUCUAAUUGCCUUGUAAAAUGCAUUGUUACUGGUCUGAUAACCCACUAAUGCCAUGGGGGGGCUAAACAAAGUAUGAGUUGGAACCUGUCUUGGUUUGAAGUUGUUAGGAAGUGUGAGAGUGUCCCUGGAAAGAAGAGGUGGUUUCCUGCCUGCCUGUGGGCAGCAUAUCCUUGGUGGCUGUAUUGUUUAGAAGGGAGGAACACUUGAUCCUGGUGGACCCUUGUCCAUUUAAUGUUUAUGGAAAGUCAGAUUGCUUAUGACAGUUGCCACUAGUGAGAGAGGAAGGGUUUAAAGAAAAUUGGACUGUUCUGCUUUUUCCCUCCUUAUGUGCAUGAUUUAAGGCUAGAUUUCUAUCCUUGUUGUGCGUCCUGGCUGACAGACUCUUUCAGUGGUAUGCUCUGAGCUUCCGGAACAUUUUAUACAAAGAUUGCCUUCUCUAUCUGCCCACCAGUUCUAGGAUUUUUAACCACCUCAAACCCAGGCGAUGUGAAUUAGUCAGGUGUUGUCUGAGAAGACAUGUAGGAUGUUUCAUUGGAGGUCUUGAGGCAGAACCCUCCCGCUUACAAUGAUCUUGGACCAAAGAACGCUAAAGUGUCAGGAGGGUGAGGGGAAUUAAUAGUCUCAGCCUCUCCUCACCUUUAUUUCUAUCAUAAAUUUUAAUUGUAAGAUUGGAAGAUACAGAAAGCUGUAUACAACCAUGUCGAUAGGGUAUAAUUAACCCAGAUAAUUUGGGAAUAAAAUUUGGCUUGUAUUUGCUAUAUCCAGAUGCCCAGACUUAACAUCUUGGUUCUCCAGCAAAGAACAUGCUGCUCUAACCUUGCCCUCUCCCUUGGGACAAACUUUCUACCUACCAGAAACUACCAUUUGAGGCAAGUGAGUCUUCUGGGUGAAGGGCUUCUGCAGCACAGCCCCCCCGUGCCCUCCCAAGGCAAGUCUACCUAUUUUGCCCAUUUUUAUUCUUAAGAACAUCAGUUCUGCAUCUCUGAAGCCUUUGAUCCUUUGGAAAGUCAGUAAGAACUUCUCAGCUGAGUCUGAGUGAAUCUUUGGAGCCCAAGAGAGUUACCCUUAAUUUUGAACAGAGAAAAAUUGUUGGACAAACUCAUGUGUGUGUUAAGAAAAUUCCAUAAUGCACUUCCUCCGUCUCUGCCUUCUAUGUUUGUUGAAUAACCCCUUAGUAGAGGUUGUUUCACAGGUGUUGAGACUCAGUGCUUCCUCAGCCAGGGUAGUUCACUGCCCUUUUAGGAAAAAGAACCAUGAACAACCAAAACUGUAUCAAUUGACCCUGUUUAUUUUCUGUGUUUUUCAGUGUCUUGUUUUGAAGAAUUGGGGUGGGGAAAUGGUAGUUGACAUUCAAAGUAGAGGAGAGAAUCAGUUCUGGAAAUGGGGUACUUUGCUUCAGGUACAAGCAUCUGUCCUGAAUAUGUAGAAACAGCUGCCUCACAUGUGAGUAGGUUUACUUUCCUCUCCAUGUAAUGAACUCCAUGCCCUUCUUAGUGGCAAGGAGGGCUUCUACUUUCUACACACGUAACCAGUGUCAUCCAGAUGGGGAUUGGCACCACUGAACACCACCAGUGCUUCCCGUUGGCUUCUGGGCAUGAUUUUCACCAGGGCAAGAGCAAGUAGGCAGUAAAUGAGAAUCCCCACCCCAGGGAGAGGUAAGAGAAGAGAGGUGUUCAGACACAUACCUAUUCUCUUCUGCCAUAUCCCCAAGAACCCAGAGAAAUGUUUGAAGUGAUUUUUUCUUUUUUUUAAUUAAAGUGGAUGAAGAAAGAUUGACCCCACUAAGUUUUAGCUUGUCCCUGUCUCUUAUACUACUUGUUGUUAUUCAUUCAAAUCUGUACUACACUGCUGCUCACAUACAUGUAUGUGUUUCUUACCUUAGCCUAACCCUUCUCAACCCCUGAAGUCAUUAUUCUAUUUUGUGUUUUCUUUUUUUAUGGCACUAGCGAAUGAGAACCUAAAGUCUUAGAAAAUCCUAACUUGAAAAGGAGUCUCUAACUGGCAUGGUUUGAUUAAUUACUUUACCUUUUCCCCCUAAAGACUUGAAUGAUUUUCUUCCCUAGUGCUAUAUAAUAGAUCUGUAAUAAGUGAAACCUUUGCUGCUACUUUUCUGGGUUUACAUCAGUUUUUUCCUUCCCUUAAAAAUAAUUUCUUAUCUGUGCUUCUCUGAUGACUGUUAAUUUCUAAUAAGUACAGGAAGAGGUGAACCUGAGAUUUCUUCUCUUACUCCCCUCCUCACCCUACCCCCAAAUUAUACACUAACCUCUAACAUAUAUAAGAUCCAUGAGAUGGGGCUCAAAAUAAGAUGCUUGUGGGGUUUUUUUCUCAUCAUGCUGCAGCUCUCAGAGCUGGCCCCUGAGGAUCUGUGACUACCCAGUCCAAAGGGUUACUACAGGGAGAGAAAGGCUUUCUUAAUUUUGCCUUUCUCCAUUCCUGUUUUAUGAUCACCCUUCAGAUGCCUCCCAUUCUGGCUGCCUCCUUUUUCCUCCCAGGAGUUGCUUCCAAGUAACCUGCCUCGGUCAUUUCCCAACUGCUCUCCUCACCUUUGCCCACCUUCCAGUGACCCUGAGAGCACAGACCUGAGAGCCGGGGCCUGUGCAGAGCUCAGAGAACUGUGAGGACGACCCCUGCCUUUCAGACUCUUCUUGGGGACAGAGAUGGGUAAAUGGUGCUGUGGGAGAAAUUUUUAUCUUCAAACCAGGCUGUUUCGCCCUUUGCACUGCCCCGCCUCCACCCCCACUCCCCUGAGGAAGGGGUAAAAUGCAGAGGAUGGUUGACUAGCAGGGUCUGAUCCCCAACAUUGCCGUCUGGCCUAAGCCUUGUCCAGCCAUUCGGCCUGCUCUGGCGUGAGAGCUUCAGUGUGUGGGAGCUGCCACUUGCUUGUUUCUCCACCAGGCCUGCCCCAACACUUAGCCGGUCCCUGGGGCCAACACAGUUCCCUACGUGGUGACUUAACACCAGCCUCCAUUAGCUGUCCAAGUGACUGUGUUUCCACCCAAUACCUUUGGCGCUUGAGGA